CACGCCGUAAACGAUGGAUACUAGCUGUUGGGAGCAAUUUCAGUGGUUAAGCGAAAGUGAUAAGUAUCCCACCUGGGGAGUACGGGCGCAAGCCUGAAACUCAAAGGAAUUGACGGGGGCCCGCACAAGCGGUGGAGCAUGUGGUUUAAUUCGAUGAUACGCGAGGAACCUUACCAAGGCUUAAAUGGGAAUUGACCGGCGUGGAAACAUGCUUUUCGCAAGACAAUUUUCAAGGUGC
rnacentral:rRNA from 1 species